UAGAAAGACUUCUGUCCUUGUUUGACCACGAUAAUGGCAGCCGUCUCCCUACACGUAUUCAGUCUGUCAAGAUGUUCUUCUGUGUAGAGGCUAAUUCAGAGUGGAAACCAGGAACUGAUUCAGCUGAUUAUACAUGAUUAGAAUAUAUGGAGCAGUUCAUAAUAAUAGGAUGGAUACGUUUCAUAAUAUCAAUCAUAGUCCUGGGAGGUAAGCGUUACAUUAAGCUUAUUCAACUCAUUCAACUAACAUGCAUCAUGGUUACAUUAAACUUACAUGUAUCAUGGUUAUAACCAUGAUGUUAGUUUAAUCUAUAGAUUUUAAUAACAUGUAUCAUGGUUAUAACCAUGAUGUUAGUUUAAUCUAUAGAUUUAAAGAACAUGUAUCAUGGUUAUAACCACGAUGUUAGUUUAAUCUAUAGAUUUUAAUAACAUGUAUCAUGGUUAUAACCUGACCCUAAACAGACGGGAAUGGAGAUCCUUUGUUGCUGCCCUACAUGCCAGUAGGCAUAAAGGGCAGUCAGUAAGAACCAUGGUGACAUUAGACUAACUAAUGAUAGUGACUGCUGUCCUGACAUGUUACUGUAUUGUUUAUCUCUAUAUAGCAUUGAUGAAACAACUUGAAGAGGUAAGUGUUAUUACUGGUUUGAUACAGAACACAAUAAUAUCUGUGACCCUAGCUGGCAGUGAUGGAGUUAUUAGAUGAUGACCUUGUAAUGAACCCAAUGUUGAUAUUUUAUUUACAUUUUUAUUUUAUAGAAGAAGAAAACACAGAAACAGGAGAGGAAGUUUGAUGAAUUGAAUGAUCUAUAUUGGGAGCUGGUUUGGUUCUACAGCAACUGGUUUAUAAGAUGGAAUCAGUGUCAAGGAGAUAUGAUCUGAUAAUCCGAGGUGUGGGGGUGGUGCAGCUUUAUAUGCCCUCUGUAUAUUUGUAUACAGAGGGCAGUUUUGGUAAUACUUUCUUGGUAAUACUGUCUACCUGGCAGUGGUGAUGAACCCUUAAUGAUGAACCCAAUGUUGAUAUUUUAUUUACAUUUU